rnacentral:rRNA from 1 species
GCCUCAGUACGGCGAGUGAAGCGGCAACAGCUCAAAUUUGAAAUCUGGCCGCAAGGUCCGAGUUGUAAUUUGCAGAGGAUGCUUUUGGCGAGGUGCCUUCCGAGUUCCCUGGAACGGGACGCCAUAGAGGGUGAGAGCCCCGUACGGUUGGACCACCGAGCCUCUGUAAAGCUCCUUCGACGAGUCGAGUAGUUUGGGAAUGCUGCUCUAAAUGGGAGGUGUACGUCUUCUAAAGCUAAAUACCGGCCAGAGACCGAUAGCGCACAAGUAGAGUGAUCGAAAGAUGAAAAGCACUUUGAAAAGAGGGUUAAAAAGUACGUGAAAUUGUUGAAAGGGAAGCGUUUAUGACCAGACUUGGGCUUGGUUGAACAUCCGGCGUUCUCGCCGGUGCACUCUGCCAGUCCAGGCCAGCAUCAGUUUGUCCCGGGGGAUAAAGGCGGUGGGAAUGUGGCUCCCCCGGGAGUGUUAUAGCCCGCCGUGCAAUGCCCUGGGACGGACUGAGGAACGCGCUUCGGCACGGAUGCUGGCGUAAUGGUCAUCAACGACCCGUCUUGAACCACCGGACCA